rnacentral:ncRNA from 2 species
CCCCCAAUCAAGGGAGACACUGACAAUUGUCAGGGCCGAAGGAGCAACCGCCCCGGAAACUCUCAGGCACACGGACCUUGGUAAAAAC